rnacentral:rRNA from 1 species
AGAGUUUGAUCCUGGCUCAGAGCGAACGCUGGCGGCAGGCCUAACACAUGCAAGUCGAGCGCCCCGCAAGGGGAGCGGCAGACGGGAGAGUAACACGUGGGAACGUACCCUUCGGUUCGGAACAACCCAGGGAAACUUGGGCUAAUACCGGAUACGUCCGAAAGGAGAAAGAUUUAUCGCCGAGGGAUCGGCCCGCGUCUGAUUAGCUAGUUGGUGGGGUAACGGCCCACCAAGGCGACGAUCAGUAGCUGGUCUGAGAGGAUGAUCAGCCUCACUGGGACUGAGACACGGCCCAGACUCCUACGGGAGGCAGCAGUGGGGAAUAUUGGACAAUGGGCGCAAGCCUGAUCCAGCCAUGCCGCGUGGGUGAUGAAGGCCCUAGGGUUGUAAAGCCCUUUCGGCGGGGAAGAUAAUGACGGUACCCGCAGAAGAAGCCCCGGCUAACUUCGUGCCAGCAGCCGCGGUAAU